rnacentral:lncRNA from 10 species
AUAUUUGAUCUUUGAUUUUCUUCCAUUUCCCAUCUGUUCUUUAUUAGGAGUUCAAACUUAAUAACCUUCCAGAGUUGGUAUCAAAUUCAGACGCUGACGCUCCUUGGAGAGGUUCUUUGCUGCAAGAGGAUGGAAAGGAUCACUGUGAUUUUGUUUUUCUCCUGCUGCUCUGUCUGGAAGCCAUGUGAGGAGGACAUCUGAGCAGCCCUGUGGAGAGGCCCCCAGCCAACAGCCAGCAUGAACUUGCUGGGCAUGUGAGUGCACCACCUUGAAAGUAGAGCCUCAACCCCUGGUCAAGCCAUCAGGGAGAGCUCAAGCUGGCCUGUUGGAAGAUGACAGGCCAUAUGCAACAGACGUGAAGUGUCCCAGCUGAUCCCCUUCCAGAACACCCACCUUCCAGAUGACCACAGAUGCAAGGGUGAGCCAGCCAAUAGCUGCUGAGACAUUCCCAGAAAGACAGAACAUCCAGCUGACCCAUGGACUCAUGGGCGAUCAUGGAUAAAUGGAUAUUGUUUCAAGCUACUAGGUUUGGGGUUGGUUUGUUACGCAGCAAUAGCUAACAGCUACACCUCUAUUUUAAGGAGUUGUGAAGAUAAAUUGCAAAGGUACAGAAAAAUGAAUAGCUAUAACAGCUACUAGUGAUUGAGUGCUGGCUCUGCCUGGUACUGUGCUCAGGAUUGGCAUGCAUUAUCUCAAAGAGUUGCACAGGCUAGAAGGGCUGCAGCUGAAGAUUCUAGAAGAGUUCAGGUAUAAUGCCUGGCACAUGGUACCUGUUUCAUGUAUGCUAGUUGUUGGAUGCUGCUGAUGCUGGCAGCACGUGGAACUCCUGACACAUGCCUCUGAUUUGGUAGUGGGGUCUGAACUUUGUAAUCUGUGUGUCCAGAGACCUUGGGAAGUCUUCAGCCAAGGGCAGACCAGGAGGUAGCUUUUGUGAUCUGAGUGCAGAGAAGUUUCUUAGAGUGAAUGGCAUCCAGAUAGGGUGGGGAAAAAGCAUUAGCCAGGGUGCUCCACACACUCCCCUCACUAGUGUGGUCCCUGGACCAGCAGCCUCAGCCUCCCCUGGGCCCUUAUUAGAAAUGCAGAAUCUCAGGUCCUACCCCUGCUUACUGAAUCAGUAAGAGCAUUUUAACAAGAUCCCCAGGGGAUUUGUGUGCAUGUUAGAGUUUGUCCAGAACACUCUUCUCAAGCUAUCUGUGCUGAGACACCAGUAUUUUUUUCAAAUUCCAAUUUAUUGCAGAAUGACAGUUUUAAAAAAUGCAGUAAAAAAGCAAAUUCCUAGAAAAAUUAAAUGAAAAAUAAAAUAUACAAAAUCUAAGCCCUUUUUUCAUUAUUAUAUUCAAUGAUACAAAAUUGCCAUCUGCCAAAUUGCUACAAAACUUUCUGAAUACUUUUCUUUCUCUGUACGUAUUCUUUGUGGGUACCUUACUGUGGAC